AAAUUAUAUUUCUAACUAUAAUCUUUUUCAACAUUAAUCUAAGGACAAUUAGAGUUCACGCACAGGUUGUAUAGUGCUAUUAUAAACUCGUGUAUCUGAACAUAAACGACUACCUCGAGACCUUACUUCGCAUCUCUCUGUCGUACAAGAGCACCGUGUUAAUUACAGCCACGAAUUUAAAUGGGAUAAUGUCAAAGUUUUGCAUAAGGAACAUCUAUUUUAUAAAAGAAUGAUUGCAGAGAUGAUUUUUAUAAAAAUGCAGACGCAUGGACUGAAUUCUCAUACUGACACUGAGAAUUUAGGAAAAUGUUACAUGUUACUCGGUUUGACUUAGAUCGUAUUUCGUUUGCGGUUACGAAGUAAAUAUAAACACUGGAUUCUGUAUUGUUUGCGGCAUUCGGAGGUACACGUUCAUAGGCGUAACAUCUCACCGGAACUCUCUGGCCUUUAUCGAGAUGAUCAUACCACAGCAUCUUAGUACGUGCGAUGGAGUGACCAGUCUCGGAAUAAAUUGUCGGUAGCUUCCGAAAAUGAAACAUUUCAUUGUGUAAAUGAUAUGUUAUGUUUGUGCUUCCGAAUCCCGUAGACAAAAAAAUUUGUAGCGACAAUUCUGUAACAACCAAUGUUAACGCUAACUUUUGCGAUUUUUUAUUUUUUGCGACACUAUAACAUUACUUGUAAUCACUGAAGAGGGUCUGUGAAAUGAGA